rnacentral:rRNA from 1 species
GACGAACGCUGGCGGCGUGCUUAACACAUGCAAGUCGAACGAUGAAGCGGGUGCUUGCACUCGUGGAUUAGUGGCGAACGGGCGAGUAACACGUGAGUAACCUGUCCUUUUCUUUGGGAUAACGGCUGGAAACGGCUGCUAAUACUUGAUAUUCAGGCUGCAUCGCAUGGUGUGGUUUGGAAAGGUUUUUUCUGGGAUUGGGUGGGCUCGCGGCCUAUCAGCUUGUUGGUGGGGUGAUGGCUUACCAAGGCUUUGACGGGUAGUCGGCCUGAGAGGGUGGUCGGUCGCACUGGGACGGAGAUACGGCCCAGACUCCGACGGGAGGCAGCAGGGGGGAAUAUUGCACAAUGGACGAAAGUUUGAUGCAGCGACGCCGCGUGGAGGGUGUAGGCCUUCGGGUUGUGAACUCCUUUUUCUCGCGAAAAAGGCACAGUUUUGGCUGUGUUGAUGGUAGUGGGGGAAGAAGCGCCGGCUAACUACGUG